GACGAACGCUGGCGGCGUGCUUAAUACAUGCAAGUCGAACGGUAAGGCCCUGCUUUUGUGCGGUGCUCGAGUGGCGAACGGGUGAGUAUCACGUGAGUAACCUGCCCUUGACUUUGGGAUAACUUCAGGAAACUGGGGCUAAUAUCGGAUAUGAGCUCCUGCGGCACGGUUGGGUUUGUAAAGUUUCGGCGGUUGGGGAUGGAAUCGCGGCCUAUCAUCUUGUUGGUGGGGUAGUGGAUUACCAAGGCACUGACGGGUAGCCGGCCUGAGAGGGUGACCGGCCACAUUGGGACUGAGGUACGACCCAGACUGAUACUGGGGGCAUGGGUGGGACAUAGUGCACACUGGGCGGAAUCCUGAAGCAAGAACUCCGCGUCGGGGAUGACGGCCUUAGGGUUAUAACCCGCUUUCGCCUGUAACGAAGCGUGAGUGACGGUAAUGUAUAAGAAAGCAACGGCUAACUACGUG
rnacentral:rRNA from 1 species